GAAGGUUUUAAAGUUCAAUUUAAUAUGAAUGGAUGUUUUAUAAGAACAUUGAGUAGAGACAAGGUCUUCAAAGGCUUUAGAGAGGGAAAUUUGGACUACCUCAUUUGUAAGAAGAUGAAUGGAGUGGAGGUAGUCACAUUUACUGAGUAUACAUGAAACCAAGAUAAGUUGAAUAUAUGGCAUUGUUACCUUUGCCAUUUGAAUGUUAAGAGCAUGAAAGAGCUCAAGUCUAUAGUAAGUGGCUUAGAUCUUGGCAAUAUAAGCCAAAAUACAAAACAACUUACAUAUAAAGGAUGCAUACAAGGCAAACAAUAGAGGGCUUCAUUUCCAAGUAGCGUAGCAAUAUGAGCUAUCAAGUUGCUAGAGAUUGUCUAUUCUAAUGUAUGUGGACCUUUUGAAUAUAAGUAUUGAAGAAUCAAGAUAUUUUCUUACUUUCAUUGAUGAUUAUUCAAAAAAGA
rnacentral:lncRNA from 1 species